AUCUGCCUUCCAAGCAGAUGGCCCGGGUUCGAUUCCCGG
rnacentral:tRNA from 1 species